UUAAGAUAGGGGUUCACUGAAGGAUGAGCUAAAGCCUUCUUCAUAGGCAAGAUCAGCCAUCAGGCUUCCUAAUAAAGUAGAUUUAGUAGCAGAGUUUGGAGAGAGAGACAUCUAUCUCUCUCCAAGAUCAUAAGGAUCAAUAUGGUGAACUACUCUAUGUGUGAAAAACUGGAUAGAUCACUGUACUCAAUGGGUUAUGACACGCUAUUCAUGUGUAUCAAGUCUACUGGUGUUUGUUAGGGGUUGUUACUGAGCCUCAUACUGCUUAUCAUCUUCAACAGUGCCCUUGACAAAGGUAUAGAAUCUAUAUUCAGAAAGAGAGGAACAGCAAACUGGGAGGAACAGUCAAUAUAUUAAGGGGAAGGGAUGCCCUCAAAAGACACCUGACAAAGCUAGAGGCACUGGCUGACAUAAAAUUGUGCUUCUACAUCAUGCUUAAAUAGUAGGGAAACGUUACUCUAUGACUGUAGAUGUCUCACUCUGACAAUAUCACUUAUAUGAAUAGUAGAGUGACAUAAAGAUUAAAGUAAAACAAAAACAGCAAAACAAAAGACCAGAGAUAUCCAAAUACCACUAGCAAAUUUGAAGAUAUCUUCAAAUAUCUCCAAAUUUCAAAAACUGUUUGAGCAUAGAGUUUCUCAUGCUAAUAUGAUUUUCAGUCAUCUCUUUUGCUUAGCUAACUAAGUAAGGAAAGUAAUGUGUUAGACAUUUUAGGGAUAAUAUUUGCCAAAUAGUUACAUCCAGAAAUAUUCUAGCCUGGAAGAAGAACCGGUACACAAUAAAUAGCAUAACCAUCUGUUUAUCUAGAAAGCUGUUAGUACACAGAUGAGCUUAAAGUAUAGGCUUUCUGUUUGUUUUCUUGUGAUUUAAGAAGUACAAACAAUUUUUUUUGCCAAUAUUGUAGUGUGUAUAUGUAGACAAAUAAAGUAUACAAACUGUUUUCACAGAUAAAAAAUGUCAUUCUAAAACCAACAACUUUUGCUUGCUUCUUUUUUUGAUCACAGUUAGAAGCAAUAAAACAUGUAAAUUUCCUGACUUGCUGGGAAUUUAAUAUUUCCAGCCAUUUUUCAGAAAUUGGCAUACCCUAUAAAAAGUUAGAUUAAAUCCAGCUAUAUCUGAAGGGCUUUUUGUGCUCUUACAUUCUUAACACUACAUCUUUUAUUAGCUAUUUAAGGGGAAACCCUAAAACCUGUAUGUUAGAGAGGAUGUGGGAGGAGAUGAAAGAAACAGAAGGUAUGCAUGCAACUUAAAACCCAAACUAGAAACUAUCAUAAGCCAUUUUUGAGAACAAAAUGUGAAGAUAAACAAGCAAAGAACCUUUUACAGAUCUGGAAAACGCAAUCAAAGGUUUUAUUGCCGAACAUGACAGUUUACAGUAUGGGAUGUCAGUCUGGGUUAUCUCUUUUGUCCAUGUCCCCACUCAGCUCCUUACACUUCCAGCUCUUCACUGACAGGGCAGAAUAAGAAGCACAAAGGUCCUUGACUCUGUAAAAACAGUGAAGGAUGCCACCUGCUACCUCCUAGAAAUGUCCUGCAAAAAUUAAAAACAAAGAAGCAAACAAAGAAAACAGAAAAAUGCACGGUUUAGCCAAACUUCUUAAUGUUUUCUCAAACGGGAAAUGCAAAUUCACUUCAGUACCCCAUUUAUACUCAUCUCUGUUUAAGAACUGUCCUCAGUUACUGGAAAAGUACUUCAAGAACCAUUAUAAACAAGUUGUGUUCGGUGAUGUUAAGCCUGUGACCACAUCCUCCAGCUUCCAGUGGCUUCCUGCCCAGCUGCUGGGAGCUGAAGCCUCUGCAUAGGCUGGGCACAUGGCUGCUCCUGUCCCUUUUGCAGUAGCAAAGCUGAGCACCUGUCCUGGGGACAUACAGACAUACAGUCACAAAUGGGACAAUGACAUGAUUUUAUCUAUCCCUCAUCCCACUUUGGGGAGAGUGAGCGAUAAGCCAUGUGGUGCUGAGCUGCUUCCAGGGUAAACCACAACAGACUUCAAACUGCUUGUCAUGGUUUUAUGAUUUUCGGUUAUUGGUAUUCCACAUCAUAACAUCAUGU